AACGAACGCUGGCGGCGUGCUUAACACAUGCAAGUCGCGUGCGCAGUAUCCUGUAGCAAUACAGGGGAUGGGCGCACGGCGCACGGGUGCGUAACACGUGGGCAAUCUGCCCUCCGAUGGGGAAUAACCCCGCGAAAGCGGGGCUAAUACCGCAUAACAUUCCUUGGACGAUGGUUCGAGGAUUCAAAGCAGUAAUGCGUCGGAGGAGGAGCCCGCGCCCGAUUAGCUAGUUGGUGAGGUAACGGCUCACCAAGGCAAUGAUCGGUAGCUGGUCUGAGAGGAUGAUCAGCCACACUGGAACUGAGACACGGUCCAGACUCCUACGGGAGGCAGCAGUGGGGAAUCUUGCACAAUGGGCGAAAGCCUGAUGCAGCGACGCCGCGUGGGGGAUGAAGCUUUUCGGAGUGUAAACCCCUUUCGCCUGGGACGAAUGCCCGCAAGGGAGUGACGGUACCAGGAUAAGAAGCCCCGGCUAACUACGUGCCAGCAGCCGCGGUAAGACGUAGGGGGCCAGCGUUGUUCGGAAUUACUGGGUGUAAAGGGUUCGUAGGCGGUGUGGCAAGUCGGGAGUGAAAUCUCUGGGCUCAACCCAGAGGCUGCUUCCGAAACUGCUGUGCUUGAGUGUGAGAGAGGCUCGUGGAAUUGCAGGUGUAGCGGUGAAAUGCGUAGAUAUCUGCAGGAACACCCGUGGCGAAAGCGGCGAGCUGGAUCACUACUGACGCUGAGGAACGAAAGCUAGGGGAGCAAACAGGAUUAGAUACCCUGGUAGUCCUAGCCCUAAACGAUCAGGACUUGGGGUGCCGCCCGUUCGGGCGUCGUCCCGGAGCUAACGCGUUAAGUCCUGCACCUGGGGAGUACGGUCGCAAGGCUG
rnacentral:rRNA from 1 species